rnacentral:rRNA from 1 species
GAGUAACGCGUGGGUAACCUGGCCCAUACAGGGGGAUAACACUUAGAAAUAGGUGCUAAUACCGCAUAACAACAGAAAGCGCAUGCUUUUUGUUUGAAAACCAAGGUGGUAUGGGAUGGACCCGCGUCUGAUUAGCUGGUUGGCGGGGUAAAGGCCCACCAAGGCGACGAUCAGUAGCCGGCCUGAGAGGGUGGACGGCCACAUUGGGACUGAGACACGGCCCAAACUCCUACGGGAGGCAGCAGUGGGGAAUAUUGCACAAUGGGGGAAACCCUGAUGCAGCGACGCCGCGUGAGUGAAGAAGUAAUUCGUUAUGUAAAGCUCUAUCAGCAGGGAAGAAAAUGACGGUACCUGAGUAAGAAGCCCCGGCUAACUACGUGCCAGCAGCCGCGGUAAUACGUAGGGGGCAAGCGUUAUCCGGAUUUACUGGGUGUAAAGGGAGCGUAGACGGCAGUGCAAGUCUGGAGUGAAAGGCGGGGGCUCAACCCCCGGACUGCUCUGGAAACUGUACGGCUGGAGUGCAGGAGAGGUAAGUGGAAUUCCUAGUGUAGCGGUGAAAUGCGUAGAUAUUAGGAGGAACACCAGUGGCGAAGGCGGCUUACUGGACUGUAACUGACGUUGAGGCUCGAAAGCGUGGGGGAGCAAACAGGAUUAGAUACCCUGGUAGUCCACGCCGUAAACGAUGAUCACUAGGUGU